UGCAUCGUCUUCAGUCCAGCCAGAGUCUAUCGAAGAACAUGAAUUUAUCAAACCACAGAAGAUGAAAAUAUGUGGUUUUCACUGAUGUCUUUAAGGGAUAGCUUUCAAAUUGUAAACCAUUACACAUUCUUAUAAAAAAUGAUGCGCAAGAAGAGACGCCCCUCUGUGGAAAAAAGCGAAAGUGCUGCUCCACCAGAUGUGUCAAGUAAUUUAAGUCUUUCAGGCGCUCAAACAAACAAGGAAACCAGACUGUGUCUAUUGACUUUGUAUGUCUCAUGAGAAAUACACAAACUAGCUAGUGUCAGUCAGCUAGUGUCAGUCAGUUCAUUAGGGAUCCAUCCCCAUCUCAUUCAGAGUAAGACCACUGGGCAUCAGUCCAAGGCCACUACUCAGGAGGACACCAAUAAUGACUCUGUCUUUGGUCAAUUUCUAUGCGCGGGCUGGUAUCAUCUUGGGAAAAGGCAGUAUAUCCAAUGAAAUUGGUAAGAAAGACACACACCCUCAAUAGUCAUUCAUCAACAUAUUGACAAAUUAUUGUUCUUAACUGGCAAUUGGUGGAUAAUGCAUCAUUAUAUUGCUUUGUAAGCUGUAGAACAAAUGGUUUUCCAAAAGAGACUCCAGCAACGACUGAAUAAGAGUCCCAGAUACCCCGGUAUUGUCCAGGAGUUCAUCAAAGGACUGGAGUCUCACAUUGAGGAUCCUGAGAGGUUCAGGGACUGUCUCCUCCCUGUGUACCAUGCCUGGCCGAUGGGACCUGCAGGUAACGCCACAGAUCACACAGCCCCAAGGGGAGCAGGGCACCUGGCUCUCUCAAAUUCUCUGAAAUGUUUGAUCAGUGGCGGUAGAGAAUUAGAAAAUUGUUACAUGGAAACAUCACUUUGUGUCUUGUCUGUGGUCCAGCUCUGUCAGCUCAUUUUAGGAGAGUGCUGUGCAUGCUGCUGGGGAUCGAGAUGUUGCCGGUUUGACAGCCUCUCUCUAUGCAAAAACACAUUGGUCUAAGUAGUGUUGGGGUCUUUAUCUGUCAUCGGCCACUGGAUGUGAAAUUCAAAUAUGACCACAAUUUUGUAAAGCCUUUCCUUUUUUCUUUUUGUUGUAGACUUUGGUCAUUAACACUAUGACAGCAGAUCUAACCUAUACUCUACACUAAUUCCAUCUGUAUAUUCCCACUAAGUAGCAAGGCUAGACUGACUUUCCUCAAACAUCACUGUAACAUGUCACUAUCAAGG